rnacentral:rRNA from 1 species
GUAACCCUACGGGGCGCAGCAGUGGGGAAUAUUGCGCAAUGGACGAAAGUCUGACGCAGCGACGCCGCGUGAGGGAUGAAGGUUUUCGGAUCGUAAACCUCUGUCAGGAGGGAAGAAAGCGCAUGGCGCCAAUCAGCCAUGCGUUGACGGUACCUCCAAAGGACGCGCCGGCUCACUCCGUGCCAGCAGCCGCGGUAAUACGGAGGGCGCGGGCGUUAAUAGGUAUUACUCGGCGU